GGAAGCUGUGUGGGGUUUUAUUGAGGCCGGUAAACAAGGAAGUCAUUCGUGAGUCUCUUGGGAGCCAUUCAGAAGGAUACAGACUUGUCUUAUCUGGACUAUGGGAGAGAAAGGGGGUUUGUUGCUGUUAGCUGUUUCCAGAAACAUGAAAAUGUAGUGGAGUUUCACAACCAUGGCCGUUUUCCUGGAGCACAGGACUCAGGUCAAAUUCAACAUUGGCCCCAGCAGCGUGGUGUACAGCAAAGCAAUUUAGCUCUAUCUAUACACAUAUCUUGGAAUAGAGAAUGGUAGUCCACUCCGGUAUUCUUGCCUGGAAAAUUCCAUGGACAGAGGAGCCUGGCGGCUACAGUCCAUGGGGCUACAGAGAGUCCAAUAUGACUGAGUGACUGAGCACACACAUACAGGUAUCUAUUCUUUUUCAUAUUUUUUCUUAAACAUAUUUUUUUUAAUGUGGACCAUUUUUAAAGUCUUUAUUAAAUUUGUUACAAGUUUGUUUCUGUUUUCUGUUUUGUGCUUUUGGCCACGAGGCACAC
rnacentral:lncRNA from 1 species